rnacentral:tRNA from 3 species
ACGGGCGUAGUUCAAUGGCAGAAUAGAGGUCUCCAAAACCUUUGAUGGGAGUUCGAAUCUCUCCGCCCGUGCAA